rfam:Triticum aestivum genome assembly, contig: Triticum_aestivum_CS42_TGACv1_scaffold_193607_3AL
CAUGUACUCCCUCCGUUCCGAAUUACUUGUCUUGGAUUUGUCUAGAUACGGAUUCCGUAUCUAGACAAAUCCAAGACAAGUAAUUCGGAACGGAGAGAGUAGUUC